CGCUGAAAGUAUCCUCUGUCUGAUCUGCAUAUGCAAAAUGUCAUAGAUAAUAUAGAGUUAAUUGGCUACAAAACCCCAUCGAACCAUAAGAAAUUGAUUUGGUGUUCAAGAGUAAAUGAGUAAUCAGUACUCUCAACAUAGAGAGAGUAACAACAGACUAAAAACUCAGCAAAACAAAGUAGUCACUACUCAUUCGUUGAAGAUCCAGGCAAACGCAACAAAGCUGAGCAUAGAAGUCAGGAACAUUCAUAUCUCAUUCAAAGUUUUCUAAGAUCAAAAUUCAACCCUAGCAACUAACAACUAAUAAAGAGAUCUAACCAAUAUCAAUUGAAACCAAGUGAUUGUAGGCUGUAGCAAAUAUCUGCGAUUCGAAGCGAUGAUGAUCGAGAAGGUUGACGGUUCGAUUUAUUAAACACAAACAAAAAAAAAAGAGAGAGAGAGAGAGAGAGAG